ACGGAUCUCUUGGCUCUCGCAUCGAUGAAGAACGCAGCGAAAUGUGAUAAGUAAUGUGAAUUGCAGAAUUCAGUGAAUCAUCGAAUCUUUGAACGCACCUUGCGCUCUCUGGUAUUCCGGAGAGCAUGUCUGUUUGAGUGUCAUGAACUCUUCAACCUACCGGUUUCUAGUAAAUCGGAUUAGUGUUUGGAUUCUGAACGCUUGCUGGCCUUUAUUGGCGAAGCUCGUUCGUAAAUGAUUAGCAUCUCAUAUUCGAAAAUCGGAUUGACUCAGUGUAAUAGACUAUUCGCUGAGGACGCUCUUUCGGGAGUGGCCGAGUUUUGUAAAGUAGAAGCUUCUAAUUCUAUUAGUCAACUUUAGAUUAGACCUCAGAUCAGGCAGGAUUACCCGCUGAACUUAAGCAUAUCAAUAAGCGGAGGAAAAGAAACUAACAAGGAUUCCCCUAGUAACGGCGAGUGAAGCGGGAAGAGCUCAAAUUUGUAAUCUGGCACUUUCAGUGUCCGAGUUGUAAUCUCGAGAAGUGUUUUCCGCGCCGGACCGCAUACAAGUCUGUUGGAAUACAGCGUCAUAGUGGUGAGAACCCCGUAACUGAUGCGGAUGCCCGGUGCUUUGUGAUACACUUUCGAAGAGUCGAGUUGUUUGGGAAUGCAGCUCAAAUUGGGUGGUAAAUUCCAUCUAAAGCUAAAUAUUGGCGAGAGACCGAUAGCGAACAAGUACCGUGAGGGAAAGAUGAAAAGCACUUUGGAAAGAGAGUUAACAGUACGUGAAAUUGUUGGAAGGGAAACGAUUGAAGUCAGACUUGUUAUCUGGAGUUCAGCCUUUCGGUGUACUCUCCAGUUUACAGGCCAGCAUCAGUUUUCGGGGCGGGAAAAUCGUAAUUAGAAGGUAGCAGCCUAGCUGUGUUAUAGCUUUUUACUGGAUUCCGCUUUGGGGACUGAGGAACGCAGUGUGCU
rnacentral:rRNA from 1 species